UUGAAAUAAUGUGUACUUUCUAUAAACAUACAAGUUGUAAUAGUCAAAAUGGAAACUAGUCAUAUCAAAUGGCAAAUAUGUAAGUGAUUUUUUAAAAGAAAUUUAUUUAUUUACUUUAUUUAAAAUAUUUUUCAUAUAACAUAUUUUGAUCAUAUUCUUUUUCUUCCCUCCACUUCUCCCAUAUCUUCCCUACCUCCAUACCCACCCAAUUUCAUAUUUUCUCUCUCUCCCUCUUUCUUUUUCUCUCUCUAGCAACAACAACAAAAAACCAAAGGAGCAAAUAAAUAAGACACUACAAAAAAAACAAAACAAAAAAAAAGUGCACACACUAAAUAAAAUAAAAUAAAACAAGAAAAACAUCAUGGAGUCCAUGUUGUGCUGGCCAACUCUUCCUGGACACAGGGACUGCCCUGGAGUGUGGUUGAUAUACCCAAGGACAUUCCAUUGAAGAAAACUGAUCUCCCUUUUCCAGAUUCCCUGAGCUCCGCCUAACAUUUGGCUGUGGGUCUCUGCAACUGUUUCCAUCAGUUGCUGGAUGAAGGCUCCCUGGUGACAAUUAGCAUGAGGCCUCAACUCUCCUCUUAACUCAAUGGGAUGUGCUUGGAGAGAGGCGAGAAGUGCUUGGAGGAAUAAUAAAUCAUGAGAGAGACAGUCUACAGAGGUUUAGCUUUCGCUUCUGACAACAGAGUGAUAUACCACCCUCAGAGUUCAACGGGCUCUUCGGAACAGAAGUUCUUCUGUCCUUCAGUGAUUUAUCUACCAAUGAGGUAUGGUUCAAGUGUGAUUGGACAAAAAUGCAAGCAAUUUCUAAGAUAAUGUAUUUUUUCAGGGAAGCUUGGGUGCCAACUAGACCAGCUGGAUGUUUUCCGCGUCUAAGUCAUAUCCAUAAAAAUGUGCUGUAUAAUGUUAUCAAGAGGAUGCGAAAUGGAAGUCUUCUAAGGAUCUUCUGCUGGCCACACUUGGCUCUGAAGUCCCAAACUCCAUUGACACGCCCCCAAGUUUGCAAACCCUGAGGUGACUAGUGUACAAACAGAAGGGUGCCUCCAGGAUGUGUUGAGUGGACAAGCAAACCCAGCAUUGUUACCUGUGAUGAUGGACCGGUCUUCACCUUUUAAAGCCAGCUCUGGAUGGAGGAGGAAGCUGUGGAUGGCAGAUCCUCAGAUGGCGCUUUGAAGUUCUCAGGCCUGGCAGCAGCAGACUUUGCAGCAGGCAGGUGUUUCCAGAGGUUGGGCUACUUGUUGACCUCAGGCUCAGCACUGUCAGACUCAGCAGGUAUCCUCAGGUGACGCAUCUACCAGGAAGGACAGGGUUCUCACCUACAUUACCAGCCAAGAGCCCCAGCAGAAGCACUCAACUCUCUCCCUUUCCAUGUCCACCUUCCACAUCUGUCUCUUACUCAGAGACUGUGGUAGUUUGACCCCAGGCUCAAUGACUUGGAUAGCUCAGUCUUAACUAAAAUGCUCUCUCUCAUGAAAGCACUUCAUGACAACCCUCUGAGUCAUGAGGAAUGUAAAUAGACAUCCUCUCCACUUCUAACUCAUGAUGGCAGAGGAGUCACCAGCUCACUAAAACCCCUGGCUGGAUUUGAAUCUCCCAAGGACU